rnacentral:rRNA from 1 species
UGGGGAAUUUUGGACAAUGGGCGAAAGCCUGAUCCAGUAAUGCCGCGUGUGUGAAGAAGGCCUUCGGGUUGUAAAGCACUUUUGUCCGGAAAGAAAUCCUUGGCUCUAAUACAGUCGGGGGAUGACGGUACCGGAAGAAUAAGCACCGGCUAACUACGUGCCAGCAGCCGCGGUAAUACGUAGGGUGCAAGCGUUAAUCGGAAUUACUGGGCGUAAAGCGUGCGCAGGCGGUUUGCUAAGACCGAUGUGAAAUCCCCGGGCUCAACCUGGGAACUGCAUUGGUGACUGGCAGGCUAGAGUAUGGCAGAGGGGGGUAGAAUUCCACGUGUAGCAGUGAAAUGCGUAGAGAUGUGGAGGAAUACCGAUGGCGAAGGCAGCCCCCCUGGGCCAAUACUGACGCUCAUGCACGAAAGCGUGGGGAGCAAACAGGAUUAGAUACCCUGGUAGUCCACGCCCUAAACGAUGUCAACUAGUUGUUGGGGGAUUCAUUUCCUUAGUAACGUAGCUAACGCGUGAAGUUGACCGCCUGGGGAGUACGGUCGCAAGAUUAAAACUUAAAGGAAUUGACGGGGUCAUAGCUGUUUCCU